CCUGCGGAAGGAUCAUUGAAUCUAUCGAAUCCACUUUGGUACCACUCGUCCCCCUCGUCCGAUGUCGCCCUCUCUUAGGGGAGUGCGAUGCGGCGAGCGUCGGUCCCCUGGCUGUGGCUCCCCCGAGCUGUUGCUCAGGUCCGGCGGGCGUCCCUUCACAUGUGGGACCCCUUCUUUUUGAGGGGACCACCCCUUUGGAGGAUCCGACGUCGGAAAUUUCAACUCAACUCAACCCACCCCAAACUGAAACUUAUUCUAAAGCACCUUGUGGUUGGCAGCUCGUCUGCCGUCCACUCCAAACCAAAUACAACUCUCAACAACGGAUAUCUUGGCUCCCGUAUCGAUGAAGAACGCAGCGAAAUGCGAUACGUAGUGUGAAUUGCAGAAUUCCGUGAACCAUCGAAUCUUUGAACGCAACUUGCGCCUGAGGCUUCGGCCAAAGGCAUGUCUGCCUCAGCGUCGGCUCACCCCCUCGCCUCCCCAUCUCCUUUGAUUGGGAAGGCGGAUCUGACCUUCCCGGUUCCGCCGGUCACUCGUGAUUGGCGCCGGGUCGGUUGAAGCUCAGAGGUAUGAGCAUGGACCCCGUUCGCAGGGUAAUGGCUUGGUAGGUAGGCAUUCCCUACGCAUCCUGCCGUUGCCCGAGGGGACUUUGCUGGAGACCUAGCAGGAAUUCGGAUGCUUGGGCACCCCCCGACACCGAAACUCUUCAUUUCGACCUGAGCUCAGGCAAGACUACCCGCUGAACUUAAGCAUAUCA
rnacentral:misc_RNA from 1 species